AGAUUCCCUCAGUAACGGCGAGCGAAGAGGGAUAAGCUCAAAUUUUAAAUCUGCUGGGUUCCACCUAACAGAGUUGUAUUUUGAAGAAACGUUUUCUGCGUCCCGGGUUAGCCUAAGUCCUUUGGGAUAAGGUAUCAUGGAGGGUGAGAAUCCCGUUCAUGGUUAAUCUUAAGGNNNNNNNNNNNNNNNNNCGUUUUCCNNANANUCNANUUGNUUGGGAUUGNNGCNNAAAAUGGGAGGUAAAUUUCUCCUAAGGCUAAAUAUUGGCGAGAGACCGAUAGCGAACAAGUACCGUGAGGGAAAGAUGAAAAGAACUUUGAAAAGAGAGUUAAACAGUACGUGAAAUUGUUGAAAGGGAAACGAUUGAAGUCAGUCAUACCAACGGGAAAUCAACCUUUUGAGCUUUGUCUCCUGGGUUCGAAGAGUUUAAACGCCUUCGGGUUCGAGAGAUUGGGAUCUUCUGGUGUACUUUCUCGUACGGUUAGUCAACAUCGGUUUUGAAUGUCAUAAAAUGACUGGAGGAAUGUAGCUUCGAUCUAGUAUCGAAGUGUUAUAGCCUUUGGUAGAUGUGAUGUUUGAGACCGAGGAUUGCAACGGAUACCCUUCAUGGGCUAUUCGUCUGAUCUCUGAUACGUUGCCUUGACGUUGAAAGCUUGCUUAUGAUGUUAGGGUAUUACGGUCAAAAGGUUAGAACGGAUUAAAUUCGUUAAGGAUGUUGACGUAAUGACUUUAAACGACC
rnacentral:rRNA from 1 species